CGAGCUCUAGCAGCACCGCAUAGCCACUGGAGGACGUGCUCGUCGCCACCAAGGACGCCAUCGAGCUGGUUGUUCCCCUCCGUGUCCAGGAGUAUCUACCCCGGGCACCGGAGCGCCCAUAUGCGUUGCCAUCAUUGUUUCCCGGACUGCCAUCGUGUUCUACUCCAAGUUCGACGCCCAGUUCCCCUAUUCACCGGUGAGCAAAUCCCCUCAACUGAACCCUAGCAGCAUGGCUUGAUCUUCAUCGUCCCGUGUCACUUGAUCCAACGGCCGUUUCUUUAUUUGAUCGGAAUUCUCAACGCCGCAUUUCACCUGAACCGUUUUGCCUCUCGCAGAUUGACACUAGAGCAAGCUCCCGACGCACUCCCGGUCUUGCCGGAGCAUGCGAAGCACAACCUCGUUUCCGUUUGUCACCGCCGCUAAGCUAAGACACCUCGUCGCUUAUGAUGUCACCUAGUUCACCGCCCCACGUGCGCCGCAUCCUCCUGUCAUUUCAUUUUUGCUGGGGACCCGUUGUGGCCGUCGCCAACAUCACAACCGAGAGGCCCGCCGCCCUCUUUUUCGCUUCAGGUGAAACUCGCUGUUGCAUUUAACUGUAGCUGAGCAAUGGGAGUAACUUAACUAGUAACAUCAUACAUUUCAAUACAACAUUACUUAUGUGGCAGCUAAUUAAUAAGGAGAGAGAGGUUUAUGGUAACUUAGGUAGUUACUGUAACAUCACACAUUUCAAGGCAUAAUGAGUCUAUAGCCUAAUAAAUGAACUCUUUCAUGAUACCACUCAUAUGUUACUAUCCACUAUGGAGGUAGUAACAUAGAGUAGUAACAUCGGCAAGUUACUACUCUAUGUUACUCCCCACUAUGAGCAGUCUUAUAUUUGACGGUUAUUGUCAUUUUUCUUAGUGAACCGGUAUCAGCCUAUUAGAGCACACCACAUGGCACUGCCACAACAGACAUAGCAGCAACUCAAUUCGCUGCCAUGGAAGUAUUUUCUUUUCCACAUUUCAAUACAAACUUCAUCUUGUUAUAUCUCGUGAUCCGUAUAUCCAAAUGAAUUGAUUCUUUUUCCGAUGUGUUACUGAUGAUCAUGACUAUCCAGUAGCACCAUAAUUUUCAACUUUUGAAUGUUUCAAAUUUGAGAAAUCCAAAUUUGAUUUCGUUCUUUCAUUUAAUCAUAUUCUGCAU
rnacentral:lncRNA from 1 species